GGCGCACGGGUGAGUAACACGUAGGUAUCUACCUUCGGAUGGGGAAUAACACCGAGAAAUCGGUGCUAAUACCGCAUAAUGCAGCGGCACCUAAUGGUGACAGUUGUUAAAGCGGGGGAUCGAAAGACCUCGCGUCUGAAGAGGAGCCUGCGGCAGAUUAGCUAGUUGGUAAGGUAACGGCUUACCAAGGCGAUGAUCUGUAGCCGGCCUGAGAGGGCGGUCGGCCACACUGACACUGACAUACGGGUCAGACUCCUACGGGAGGCAGCAGUCGGGAAUUUUGGGCAAUGGGCGAAAGCCUGACCCAGCAACGCCGCGUGAAGGAUGAAAUCCCUCGGGAUGUAAACUUCGCAAGAACAGGAAGAAUAAGUGAGAGUUAACACCUCUUACGAUGACGGUACUGUUUGUAAGCUCCGGCUAACUCCGUGCCAGCCGCCGCGG
rnacentral:rRNA from 1 species